rnacentral:rRNA from 1 species
GACGAACGCUGGCGGCGUGCCUAAUACAUGCAAGUCGAACGCAGUGGCGAACGGGUGAGUAACGCGUAGGUAACUGCCUGGUAGCGGGGGACGACUAUUGGAAACGAUAGCUAAUACCGCAUACUACCAGAUGGACCUGCGUUGUGUUAGCUAGUUGGUGGGGUAACGGCUCACCAAGGCAACGAUACAUAGCCGACCUGAGAGGGUGAUCGGCCACACUGGGACUGAGGCACGGCCCCAACUCCUACGGGAGGCAGCAGUAGGGAAUCUUCGGAAAUGGACGGAAGUCUGAACGAGCAACGCCGGGUGAGUGAAGAAGGUUUUCGGAUCUUAAAUCUCGGUUGUAAGGGGAGCGGUAUCUUACCAGAAAGGGACGGCUAACUACGUGCCAGCAGCCGCGGUAAUAC